CCUACGGGGGGCAGCAGUCGAGAAUCAUUCACAAUGGGGGAAACCCUGAUGGUGCGACGCCGCGUGGGGGAAUGAAGGUCUUCGGAUUGUAAACCCCUGUCAUGUGGGAGCAAAUUAAAAAGAUAGUACCACAAGAGGAAGAGACGGCUAACUCUGUGCCAGCAGCCGCGGUAAUACAGAGGUCUCAAGCGUUGUUAGGAAUCACUGGGCGUAAAGCGUGCGUAGGCUGUUUCGUAAGUCGUGUGUGAAAGGCGCGGGCUCAACCCGCGGACGGCACAUGAUACUGCGAGACUAGAGUAAUGGAGGGGGAACCGGAAUUCUCGGUGUAGCAGUGAAAUGCGGAGAUAGCGAGAGGAACACUCGUGGCGAAGGCGGGUUCCUGGACAUUAACUGACGCUGAGGCACGAAGGCCAGGGGAGCGAAAGGGAUUAGAUACCCCUGUAGUC
rnacentral:rRNA from 1 species